AUAUGUGAUCGUCUCUCGCAUAUCAAUAAGCGGAGGAAAAGAAACUAACAAGGAUUCCCCUAGUAACGGCGAGUGAAGCGGGAAGAGCUCAAAUUUGAAAUCUUAAAGGGUUUCCCUUUACGAAUUGUAGUUUAAAGAAGUGUUUUCUGUUGAGGUUUUGGUAAAAGUUCUUUGGAAUAGGACAUCAUAGAGGGUGAGAAUCCCGUAUUUGACCUUUACUUUCAACUUUGUGAUACACUUUCAAAGAGUCGGAUUGUUUGGGAAUGCAGUCCAAAAUGGGUGGUAAAUUUCAUCUAAAGCUAAAUAUUGGCGAGAGACCGAUAGCGAACAAGUACCGUGAAGGUAAGAUGAAAAGAACUUUGAAAAGAGAGUUAAACAGUACGUGAAAUUGUCAAAAGGGAAGCGUUUGACACCAGUGUUGUUUUUCUGAAAAUCAAUUAAAGAACUGUUUAUGCUAAGCUGUUUAGACUUUAUCAGCUAACUGUUUAGUUUUGAGCUUUUCUUUAAUGCACUUUUCAGUUAACAAGUCAACAUCAAUUUCUUUUGCUGUAAAAAAGCUUGAGGAAGGUGGCUUGAGAUUCGUCUUAAGUGUUUAUAGCCUCUUGCCUAUGCAGUCGGAGAGAUUGAGGUCUGCAGCGUAGAUCCUUCGGGGCUAAAUGCAUUUGUGCUAAGUUAUAGCAUUUUAUAGACAACUUGUUGACUAUGAUUUGUCUUGUAGCUUACUCGCUUAUGUUAUUUUACCUACGCUUAGGAUGUUGACGCGCGUGUGUGCGUG
rnacentral:rRNA from 1 species